AUUGAACGCUGGCGGCAUGCCUUACACAUGCAAGUCGAACGGCAGCGCGGACUUCGGUCUGGCGGCGAGUGGCGAACGGGUGAGUAAUGUAUCGGAACGUACCAUUCAGUGGGGGAUAACGCAGCGAAAGUUGCGCUAAUACCGCAUAUUCUGUGCGCAGGAAAGCAGGGGAUCGCAAGACCUUGCGCUGAUUGAGCGGCCGAUAUCAGAUUAGCUAGUUGGUGAGGUAAAGGCUCACCAAGGCGACGAUCUGUAGCGGGUCUGAGAGGAUGAUCCGCCACGCUGGAACUGCGACACGGUCCAGACGCCUACGGGAGGCAGCAGUGGGGAAUUUUGGACAAUGGGGGCAAGCCUGAUCCAGCCAUGCCGCGUGAGUGAAGAAGGCCUUCGGGUUGUAAAGCUCUUUCGGCCGGGAAGAAAUCGUAUGGGUUAAUACCCUGUGCGGAUGACGGUACCGGCAUAAGAAGCACCGGCUAACUACGAGCCAGCCGCCGCCGCGGUAA
rnacentral:rRNA from 1 species